UAUUGUCAUGUAUCAGCUGCUGAAGAGAGACAGGAGGACGCAGGAAGACAAAGAAGCACUAGGACAAGACUACACUGGUUCUUCCUGGGAAAGGCGUGGUCAUCCUAGAGGUAAAGGUGAAGCAGAGUCAGGAGGAGGACCAGGAAGGGAUGAGACAGCCCAAGGCAACAGGUUCCGGGACAGCUGCCGCCUGUUUCCUGAGGUCUUUGCAGCAGAGCUUGCCCAGCGGUACAAGAACAUGGGCGCAGACCCCUCACCUCUGCCCACGUGUCCCUUCUGUGAUCUGGCUGAUGGUGCCUCUUCACAGGACCACUGGAUUUCCCUGGACUCACCUCAGCCCACACCAUUCUCAUGCUCCUGCUGCCAGUACCAGCAGGAAUAUUUUAUAUUAGAGGAAAACGAUUAUUUUAGUGAUAGCAUGUAAAUAAAUAUAUUUCUAAAAGCAGUAA